rnacentral:rRNA from 1 species
GAUGAACGCUGGCGGCGUGCCUAAUACAUGCAAGUCGAGCGAACGGACGAGAAGCUUGCUUCUCUGAUGUUAGCGGCGGACGGGUGAGUAACACGUGGAUAACCUACCUAUAAGACUGGGAUAACUUCGGGAAACCGGAGCUAAUACCGGAUAAUAUUUUGAACCGCAUGGUUCAAAAGUGAAAGACGGUCUUGCUGUCACUUAUAGAUGGAUCCGCGCUGCAUUAGCUAGUUGGUAAGGUAACGGCUUACCAAGGCAACGAUGCAUAGCCGACCUGAGAGGGUGAUCGGCCACACGGGAACUGAGAAACGGUCCAGACUCCUACGGGAGGCAGCAGUAGGGAAUCUUCCGCAAUGGGCGAAAGCCUGACGGAGCAACGCCGCGUGGGUGAUGAAGGUCUUCGGAUCGAAAAACUCUGUUAUUAGGGAAGAACAUAUGUGUAAGUAACUGUGCACAUCUUGACGGUACCUAAUCAGAAAGCCACGGCUAACUACGUG